GAUGAAGAACGCAGCGAAAUGCGAUAAGUAAUGUGAAUUGCAGAAUUCAGUGAAUCAUCGAAUCUUUGAACGCACAUUGCGCCCGCCAGUAUUCUGGCGGGCAUGCCUGUUCGAGCGUCAUUACAACCCUCAGGCCCCCGGGCCUGGCGUUGGGGAUCGGCGGAGCCCCCCGUGGGCACACGCCGUCCCCCAAAUACAGUGGCGGUCCCGCCGCAGCUUCCAUCGCGUAGUAGCUAACACCUCGCGACUGGAGAGCGGCGCGGCCACGCCGUAAAACACCCAACGCUUCUGAAGUUGACCUCGAAUCAGGUAGGAAUACCCGCUGAACUUAAGCAUAUCAAUAAGCGGAGGA
rnacentral:misc_RNA from 1 species